rnacentral:rRNA from 1 species
GUCCUUGCCGUAAACGAUGUGGAUUAGGUAUCAGGGGUGUCGAUCCCUCUGGCGCCGAAGCUAACGCAUUAAAUCCACCACCUGGGGAGUACGGUCGCAAGACUGAAACUCAAAGAAAUUGACGGGGACCCGCACAAGCGGUGGAGCAUGUGGUUUAAUUCGAGGCUACGCGAAGAACCUUACCCAGGCUUGACAUGUAGUUGACUGUGCAUGAAAGUGCAUUUUCCCGCAAGGGACAAUUACACAGGUGCUGCAUGGCUGUCGU